UGCCCCCACGAGAGGUAGAACCACGGGCGUCGCUGUUUGUGCUAUUUAAACCCUCGGGCUGAGAGCCGGAGGAUUUCAGAGCUCCCAAGGCUCUUCAAACCCUAAACAAGUCCUACCCUGCCCUUCCUCCUUUCCCUUUGAUUCUUUGUUCUCCACCUUCGUCUUGUUAUCCUUUUUCCGUCGGUACCUGUUUCUUGCCUGAAUUCGUCGAAAUCGGAGGUAUUUGUGCGGGUUCCUCAAUCAGUUGAUAUGGUUUCCGGGGGACUGGGCAGUGGAGAUUUAGACGCUUGGUUUCAGAACCUCAUUGUUUCUGGUGGUGGGAAAAAGUCAGGUGGAGCGGCAGCUGCUAUGGCAGGCUGGAAGGACAUCCCCAUGGAGCUAUUGCUGAGGAUCAUUUCGCUUGUGGAUGAUCGGAUGGUGAUUGUGGCUUCUGGUGUUUGUACUGGUUGGAGAGAUGCCUUGUGCUUGGGGCUUACAAAUCUCUCUCUGUCAUGGUGCAAAAACAACAUGAGCAGCCUUGUGCAGUCACUAGCCCCCAAGUUUACAAAGCUGCAAGUACUUUCUCUGCGACAGGAUAGACCUCAACUCGAGGACAGUGCUGUAGAGACUGUUGCUACGUUUUGCCAUGAUUUGCGGGAUUUAGACCUUAGUAAAAGCUUUAGACUGACUGACUGCUCCUUGUACUCUUUAGCCAAUGGAUGUCCACGCCUUACAAAACUCAAUAUCAGUGGGUGCUCAGCUUUCAGUGAUUCUGCCCUUGCAUAUCUGACUAGUUACUGCAGGAACUUGAAAAGCUUAAACCUUUGUGGAUGUGGGAGAGCUGCAACUGAUAGAGCUUUACAGGCUAUUGCGUAUAAUUGCAGUCAAUUGCAGACUCUGAAUCUUGGUUGGUGUGAGGGUGUCAGUGAUGAUGGAGUAACCAGUUUGGCAUCAGGAUGCCCUGAUCUCAGGGCUUUGGACUUAUGUGGCUGUGUCCUUAUAACAGAAACACACUGUUGUUUGCUAUCCCAGAGUGCCAAUCAUUCUCAACACCAUGAUACAUGUUCAACCUUGCCUAUGGUUAUUGUCAAUACAUACUCAAAAGAAGAUGUCGAGUUUGAUCUGAUUGGAAAUCCUUAAAACUGUAAAGGCCCUGGUUCGAUUACAAGGUGAAAGUUAGAGAACUCCAAGCAGCAGCAGCAUGCCAUGAUCUCAGUCGGCCGAAGUUUUUUUAAUAGGAAAAAUCGGACAGCAAUGAAAGUGUAAUCGCAUUGGCAAAUGGUUGCCCUCGACUAAGAUCCCUGGGCCUGUAUUACUGCCAGAACAUCACCGACAGGGCUAUGUAUUCACUAGCGAAUAGCCGCGUGAAGAGCAAGCAUGGGUUGUGGGGUCCUUUGCAGAAAAGCAGCGACGACAAGGAAGGGCUUAUGAAUCUGAACAUUAGUCAGUGUACGGCCUUAACGCCGCCUGCUGUUCAGGCUGUUUGCGACUCAUUCCCUGCACUUCAUACCUGCCCUGAAAGACAUUCCCUGAUCAUCAGUGGGUGCCUCAACCUCACAUCUGUGCACUGUGCUUGUGCCGUCCAAGCUCACCGGGCAGGCAGGGUGGCUUUGUCUCCCCAUGCUUACUGAGCACUGUAACACUGUGCAACUUGGAAAGGCUUGGAACGAAGGUUGGAGUUUUGAUCUUGAAAAGCCACUUGUACAUGUACAUCGAUAUUAUGUAGCGGAACUGUUCUUGGUAAGAGAGAAAGGAAUUCUAGACUGAAGGAACUGCAAUGGACCUGAAUUGGUUUCCAUAUCCUAUGUUAUGUCUGUAGCUUCCUUUAUCAAGUGUGUAUCAUUACUUAAAUAUAAUGUAGAGUAAUGCCAAAGAGACUGGAUGUGCCUGAUCGACUGUCGAUGGAGGUCUUGUGUGCAUUUUGUCUCAUUUUCUGCA